rnacentral:tRNA from 1 species
GGGGAAAUAGCUUAGAUGGUUAGAGUACUGGCUUGUCACGCCAGGGGUCGCGGGUUCAAGUCCCGUUUUUCCCG